ensembl:miRNA
AGGUUGGUGCAAAAGUAAUUGUGGAUUUUGACAUUACUUUAGAUGGCAGAAACUUCAAUUGCUUUUGCACCAGCCUAA